UAGGCCCAGUCACCUCACUGCUCCCACCAAACAGCUGAACAACCACUACAAGGCUAACCGGGACCAGGUGACACCCAGACGACCAGCCCUAUGACCAUGAAAGCUUGAGCUAAACUGAGAGAGGUCAGGUAUGAACACAGCACUACUCUUUUAGAAGAGGCUGACUGUUAUUUACGCAAGAUAGAACUUUCGAAUAGUAUCCUCAGAAACCACCCCAAAACAAAUGAAAAAUGGAAAGGCAAGACAAAAACAGCAUUUUGAAUAAAACUUCAAGAGCGAUUCAAAUAUUUUAAGUAUUUUCUAAAGGAACGAGUCGUCUCACGAGGAAGUGGAGAGAGGCUGAAGAGAGAUUUUAACAUCUCAGUGGUUGGAGCCCAGGGUUGACAGAUCUCAGGAAAUGCUACAAAAAAUUCACUUCUUGAAAGUGAGGGAUGUACCUUAAGAGGCAGAAAUUGGAACUUAUCCUGGAGAAAGUGUGCAUGGAAACCAGAGGUCACUUUCUACCCCCAAGAGAACCAAAGUGAGUUCAAUGAAAAGGAGAAAGCAAGGCCAAAUGAAGACUUGGAUGGGUAAGGCACGCAUUCGGAAGUCCUCUAUCGUGGUAGAAGCCCUGGGAGGAGGAGAAUCUUGACACUGUGGAGCUGUGCUAGAAAGGAAUGCCAACCGGACUCAGGAAAACGCUUAAUGAA